rnacentral:lncRNA from 1 species
CUGAAUUUCCAAUCGUUUCCCCAAAAUAUUUAGUUUUUUCCAUCCUCUUCAUUAAAAAUAUCUCAUGUCCUUGAGCUGCACCUCAUGAAGGAGGAACGAGAGUGUCCCUGUUUCUCCUGACACUUCUUAUGGACUGUGUAUCAAGGAACCACCCCUGGGGACCAUCGGGCCUCACACCCUUCUGGAAAACUGACUCUGAUGAACCAAAUUCGAGGUGAGAAGGAGACAAGAGCAGUAACCACAUGAAAAUUACGUGGUUUGUGUUUAAAUCAAGACACCAAAAUCAAAGGCGGCAUGUGACAGACCCUACAUUGUUGCCAGAAUUUACAAAACUGGCCUCUUUUGCCAGGCUGAGAAUCCACAGAGGCUGGCCAGAGAGAAGUCUGAGGAGCAGCCAGGAGCCUCUCCAGUUGUGAUGUGGAAUUUGCAAGAGGAUCCUGGGCCAGGGUCCACAGAAUUGCGUGUGUCCUGCACCAGGCCGUGUCAGCACACCAUGUUUCCUAGCUCUCUGGGAACCCAAACAAAGAAGAGACACCCAUGGCAACCUGAUUGCCAAGCUGUGCCUCCCUCUCAGCCCCCCAGAUCUGGUGUCAUCUUUACAGGAGGCGCUCCUGUUGAUCUCAGCCAGUCCUUUGGGCAACAAGUGGGCUGA